GGGGCAGUAUAUAAAUCUUAUUGCUAUUGCUAAAAUGAUCCCAGGAGCACUUGAGCCUGUGAUUCCAAAGCUGGGAGAACUGCUCCAACAGAUCCCAGGAGCAACAUCAGGGCUCCCUGUCCAGAAGAGUGCAGUGUGCUAGGAACUGUUAAGAUAGUGUGAAGAACCCUCAAAUUCCCAGGCUUCAGAGAAGAACUCUUGUUGUCAUGACCUUGACAAGGAGUGGACGGUGCAUCAGGGGACAGCAAUUUUUGAACUAAGUCCUGGAAGUCAGAGGAUUCUGACUUUAAAAAGGAAGAAAGCGAGGGAAGAAAGCAAGAAAGCAUUGCCCCCCCCCCCCAGCUGUUACCACCAAUAGCCUUGUGGAAUGGAUUCUUGUUCUUGUUUGUUUUUCAAUGUACACAACCCACAGAGCGAGAUGCACACCCUAUUUAUAUCGCUUGUAGGUUUUCCCUGUCUCGUGGGAAGAUCGGGUGGGCACCAGAUUAUAUAGCCAUUGUGAGACCAUAUUAAAUAGCAACAGAUCGGA